UGCCUCAUUUGCCGAUGAAGUCUUGAUGCAGAAGUGGGUAGUCUUGCUUUAAGACGUGUGAUCUGACUCUCUCAGCUCUCUCUCGCUCUCUCGCUCUCUCCCUUGCUUUCCAGCUGGGCUACAUUGUAAUACACACACACAUGCACACUCACUCACAUUCGCUCUGCCUGUCUGACACAGACUCUCUACUUAGAGCGCUGGAGAGAGGACUGAAGCUCACACUAUCAGCACUGCUUCUCAAUGGGGGGAUGCAGCCAAGAGCAGACAGAGCAGUCAUUCCACUGGAGCCUUCCGCUGCACGCGUGAGAAGGAGACGACAAGUGAGGAGGGUAAAUUAGCUCCCAGUCAACAGAACAUAGGAGUUUUACUGACGGAGAAGAGACACUGAAGGAAGGAGAGCACAUCUUCACGAAUGUGGCUGAGACAGCAGUGACAUGAUCAGCCUUCCAUCCCUCAAAUCCUGGCCAGUUUGUAACAAAGACCCCUGGGUGUUUUGCUUUUGGUGACUCUUUGUGUUGCCAAAGGAUUUCAAAAAGAACCUGAGCAGCAGGGGUCCAAAAGGAUAUAUAGAAAGGAAAGAACAGCCUUUUUAGCUUCCUUUUGUGCAGUGUUUGGCUUAUCUGUUAGUGGAAUUUCAGGCUGAAAACCCUGGCUCCCAAGUAUGGAUGGAUUUAAGACUGAGGAGUGAGUCUGCUGGGCAGGCAGUGAUUCUGACUGAACUCCUUUGCUUCUGAACGCAGCGCUCAGACUCGGCCUUACCAUGUCCUGGUUGUUGGCCAUGUGGAUUAGCCUCGGCUUCCUGCUGCUGUGCCAGGCAACUCUCUACCAGACCAUCCAACAGCACCAUGUGGCCCGGCCUGGUCGCACUGACAUUCUCACCCUGGAGGGUGGUACGUGCGAGGUGAUUGCUGCCCACCGAUGCUGUAACAAGAAUCGUAUCGAGGAGCGCUCUCAGACAGUCAAGUGCUCCUGUUUACCGGGGAAAGUGGCCGGAACGACACGCAACAAACCCUCCUGUGUGGAUGCGUCCAUUGUAAUUGGGAAAUGGUGGUGUGAGAUGGAACCGUGUCUGGAGGGAGAAGAGUGUAAGACUCUGCCUGACAACUCUGGAUGGAUGUGCUCCUCUGGGAACAAAAUCAAGACCACAAGGGUGAGAAAUCACACACACUUAAGUUCAGCUGCCUACAUCUGCAUGCACACACAUACUCUCAUAAUAUAGAGAAGCUAUUCUACGCAUACUUUACACGCAUGUGUUUGUCAUUUCUGUGCUGCGAGUAGAAAUGCACACCUAACCAACCAUACGACACGGCACAUUUACACCGUUUCCACACAAUGCAUUGCAUAUAGCCAGACAACUUAAAAUUUAAUCGUUUUUCUUGAACUUGUCAACUGCCUGCUGCUGCACACAUUGAAACGCAGAUUUUCAAACCCAUAUAAAUGUGCUGAAAUAGCACUGUAAAGAAAUUCAUCCAAAAGCUGUGCCCUCUCUAUAACAAGGUUGGUUUUGUUCAGUGUAAGCAACCUAUCUAAUGGCCCAUAGUAGUAAAAAAAUAAAUAUAAAGCAGGUGGUAAACAAACAGGUGGGAUCUGCCUCAGGCCACACUUGUCAACGACAUAAAGUUAAUGGCUGCUCUGCUCCUCCACUGCUUUUUCAGCUUUGUGCACUCACUUCGAUUGCAGUAUGCAAAAAUAAUGCAGAGUUUAGUCCUCGAAGCCAGCAGUCCAGCACUGUGACAAGUUGAUCACCUGAUUUGUAUUCACUUAAUUGACCCCCUUUCUCCCUUCCAGUGCUUGGUGACAAUGACUUUGAAUAGCAGCAGAGGCUAAUGUGAUAGUAGAGAAACGGGGAACAGCCAGUGAAGGCUAGACGUCAUGGGGCUUCCCAAGGUUGUUCUGUAGAUUUAUGUGCCAGCAAAUAGACAUAAAGCUUUCAAAGGGGCCCCUCACAGCCAUCGCAGGCUUAAAAUUUUCAGAAAGAAGUUGAUCGAAUGGGGUCUUGCCAGCUUGUCAAGGUAAGGUGCAGUACUUGGUUUACUCUUUAGAAUGCAUCUAGAAGUAUCAAUGCAGCCCACUGCAUAAUGUGAAGAAAGUCGAUUUAAAAUGAUCUUAUGAACAGUACUGUUCAAAAGUCUUGAGCAACCUGUCAUUUCUUUGUAUUUCACUUCAAAGGAGGCAGGUAUUUAAAAAUGUCUUGGGCAGGCUUUCUGACAUUUCUUUUUCACUAAUUCUCCAGUCCAGCCCUUAUACCUGCGCUCUCUGUUUUGUGUUUUGGAUGAGUCGCUUAACACUGACUCAUAAAUCAGCCAAAUAGUAUUAUAUGAACCGCAUCUGUAUUAUAUUAUUAUAUUGCCACAUUGCAGACAACUUAGCAAAGAACCAAUUAUAAAUCAUAUCUUUAGACACUUUAUGACUAGCAGCCUUUUGCAAAAGCAUGUGACUUCUUCCUAAUUCUUUAGUCAAAACUAUGAAAAACACUUACGAUAACACGGUUUAACAGGCAUAAAAUAUUUUUGCACCAACAAGGUCAUUCCCAAAGUGCUAUUGUCAACAUGGUGUGCAUUGUGUUAAAACAAUUUAGGACACCAGGCAAGUAGAGGACAAACAAAGAACUGACAGGCCCAAAAAGCAGGUGAACAGUAUCUAAUGUCCUUAAGAAAUAGGAAAAGAAAUCCAGCCAAGACCUGAGAGAUGCCUCUGGCUAUUCAGCUGAUCUACUGUCCUCUAAAGCUUCAUCAGAAAUGUUCAGUCUCAGUGGAAGUGUGGCUGUCAAUAAUCUGAUCUUAAUGAAGAGAAACAGGGAGAAGAGGCUGGUGUACGCCAAAUUGCACAAGAACUGAACUGAAAAGUCUUACGGAGUGCUGAAUCCAAAUUUGGUUCAGAUUAUCAUCAGUAUGUAUCAGGAAUGAGCACAACAGUGAGGGUCCACAGCCAUCUGUAAAACACGGUGGAGGCUCUGUCAUGGUUUAGUGGUGUUGGAGAUUGUUGGAAUUAUUAAAAGUGAAAUUACCAUCAGAUUUUGAUCUAUGUUGGAAUAAUACCUGGAAAAGCAUCUGAUUGAUUACAGCUUCACUUUCGAGCAUGACAAUGAUCCCAGUCACAUUGCCAGAGCAGUAAAAGGAUACUUGCAUAGAAAAAAAAUGCAUUUUUUUUGUCCUAAAUGUAUGUUUGCAGAUUUCAAUAAAUCAUUGCACCUAUUAGCUAUUUUCCUAACAAAAUAUAAAGCAAUGCAGGGUGGCUCAAGAUUUUGGCACAGUAAAGUAGAGGCAGUGAAUCCUAUUUUAUUUAUUUACUCUCUUGAGAUGCAGAAAUCGAGUUUGUUAAUUUCUGCGCACAAAAGAAGGAAAAGCUAUACUGUCACAUGGUUUUGGUCUAAUGUCAAAAUCUUAAGAGAAGAGCGUAAAAAGGUCAGGCCUGAAGGUGCUUUUCUACCGAAUACACACGUGUCCUUCUUUUCUUGACCCUCUCUUUGCAGAACACCCAGCCAUACUCCCCUUUUUAGCUUCCGGAAGCAAAAUGCAGAGGAUGCAUCAACAGAAAUUGAGCUGCAUUCUUGCUUCUGUAAAGAUUCAUCCCAGGACCUAACAGAGAGCUCCCAUUGCAGGGCUCAGCGCCAGGCUCCUUCCCCUCAUGUACCCUUUCUCUUCUCAUCGAAUGGACUAAAACUAUUACAUCCACGGCUACUGACUGGAUUACCUGGGACCAUAGAAAGGAUAUCCACCCAGAUAAAACAGCUUUGCUCGCGUGGUGCCAAGGAUUUGAAACCAGACUAAUCCCGUGUUUGAUCAAUGAGCUCCAUGUUGGUGACUCUCCUCUUCCACACAGCUGUGGCCAGUUUCUGACCUACUCUUCCCUCACUCUGUUUCCCUAUUCAGAACUAAAGCAGCUUAGCAGGGGCUAUUUAGAGGUUGUUAAAACAUAAUUUGAAGACGUUCUCCCCGCCCGUCUGAGGGUGAACUUGUUGGCAAACUUUCAUAGACCUGAACCUGAAUCUGUGGAACUGAGGGCACAUUGGGGGAAAUUUUUAUUUCUGUGUGGAAAGCAUUUGUAUUUGACUCACUACCUGAGGCUGAUCGCUUUGUUGUGGCUGCACCGAGGAAACUGUCAGCUGUUACCGCUAGAAAGGUCGAUUAAUGAAGACUCUCAGAGAGGCUUUAGGGUCAACCCCAUGGCCUCACGCUCAUCCUCCACGACGAACAUUCUGACUUUUAUUGGUGGGCAUGCCCAGUGUAAAUUCAUGAGCACUUCUUUUCUUUGUAUGUAAGAUAAUUUGUGUAUAUAUACACAUAUAUAAAUACAUUACAUGUUAAGCUGACAGAUCCAAGAAGCUGAAAAAUAUAUUUACAGAUUUCAAGCCCGUGUUGGAAUCCUGAAUAACCCUUGAACGUGAGCCAGAGGCUGUCGUCACGGUGCGGUGUGUCUAGGACUGCUUCGCAUUGGGGGAAAAAGCCACAACGGAAUCAUAAAAAUAAGUUCUGCUCACUUUUGUCAUUCAGCAAUGUUGUUUGGUUACUCCAGAAAGCGCUUGUUGUUUCAGUAAAGCUGAGGAAAACACUGUAUAGAACUGCCUCACUAAAGAAAGCAGCAACACCCACCCGUGACCUUUCCCCUCAGACACAUCAGAGAAACUCUGACCAUAAUAGGACAAUUACGUUUCUGCAGCGGAGAGUGGUCACGGGUGAGAGUGUCUGUAAUGUAGAUGUUCCUCUUACACACACCAGAGAGAUGAUUUAUUCAAAGUGACAGUGAGAAAGUAUUAGUCACAAAGGAGAAACAUAGUUAUCCCCCAGUAGCUAUAAGUACAUUACAGGACAGCCUUAUGAGAAAUAAAAAUGGUUUUCUAUACUGAUAUGCUGCCUCCCAUUUCUCCAUAAGGUGACUGAUAUUUUGAAAAAUGUUCCUCUUACGACUAUUUGAUAUGUUGUAAUAUGUGGGUGGAAGAUCUCGUCAGAGUUUCAUUUAUUUUAUAUGUUAACGUUGUGAACAGAGUUUUUGCUUGAGUAAACAAGCAAUCAAGAACGGCACAGGACGCGUAUGAAAAUGACUUACGGGCACAGACACACUCACAAACACACACACACAUGCGGUAAACACAAACGGAUCUGUGAUGCUUCAUUUAUACAAUUCCCUUGCUGGCAGAGUGGAUUUAUCAAAACAGAGCAUUCAAUUCAUUCAUGCAAUUAGAAUAAGGAUUUCCAAUAUCAGGCCAGGCAAAAUUCCAGAUGAUUUUCAAUAUCAACCUCCUCUCUCGGCAGAUAUUAGAUUCGUUUCUUGUCCCAGUGGAUGCACUAGUGUACAUUCAUCAUUUAGGAAUUUGGCUAGUUUCGUGGAGCCCGGUGCCUCGCUGAGCAGUCACAGAAGGUAUGAAAAAGACAGAGACAUCAAUCUCCCAGUGGUCUUGCCAGAAUCAUGAGGGAAUAUAGUAAAGGAGAGAGAGAGAGACUGCUUUCUCCUCCUGAAUGGGUCAUUUCCGUCUUUGUUUUCUCCUAUUUAUUGGGAUUGGCCGUCCUUAAGUCUUAUUUAGCUUGUACUAAAGAAAAUGAAACAGUAGAGGAGUUUGUGCAUAUGCACGACCUGUCUGCGGGUGCUUUUUUGUUGCCAUAAACGUUUGUCUUUUUUUACACGCACAUCCCUGUGUGUGUGUAUUUUAGACCCAGAGUCUGGGAGAAAUACAUCCUGCGACGACGUACUGUGAAGAUUAUCCUCAAAUUCGGUGCUCGUGUAGGAAAUCAAGCGAUUUCUCCCUUCCUACUUAUGCAGUUCUAAGUGGAUUUUUUUUUGCUUAAAAGGUGCUUGGGGAUCAGAAAUGGAAGAGGUGCUUUUCCUUUUGCCUUUUCUCAUUCUCUUUUAUGCACUGCUUAGCUCUAUCCAGAAAUGAUAGAGUCGUGCUGUGGAGGGAGGUCCUGCACCAUUUUAGACAAAGCAGAAAGGAGCCCAGCAUGAAUAAAUAAGCGGGGCCAGGUCCUCCUCCCACGCCACAGGACUGUACAAUCUCAAAAGAGAGACAUCCAUCAAGUCCUGCCGACCUCCCACUGAGACAGGGAGACAGCCAUGACCACAUCACGCUGGAUGGCUAAUCAACGCCUGACAGCAAGGACAACCCUUUUCAUGCAGCCGAGAUGUGCGCGCAGGAUGUCGGCCAGUGUUGUUUAUAAAACUUGCACUUGUAACUUCCAAGGGUAUCUCAAGUAAAACCUAAACUUUUGCCCUGCAUAGAAGGUAAAUGCUUGGCUGCUUUUAGGAGCUUUCAUAAAGAGCCUCACUCCUCUUUGACGGCACUUCUGUCUUCGCACUUUAUCACAUUCAUAUUCUUUAAUCAUUUUGGAUAGCAACCUAUAAUUUGUGGAAAGGGCACACUCCUUACCUGUGGGGGCUUUGUGGCCUAUAAUUACAGUCAUUAUGGCCAUGAGUCACGGUGAAUAUCAGCUUUAUAAUGAUCAUUCACUAGAGCUGGACAACUAAGAGUGUUCGAAAAUCAUUAAUGACACUAAAACUUCCCCUCAAUGAUAGCUAUUUUCUGCAACUUUGGGCAUUAUUACCAGUGGCCCAUUUUCUAUGAAAUGUAAUAGCACAGUAUCAGACAGAGUAGAAUUAAUCCUUUUAAUUAUUGAACUCAACAAAUGGGAGCAGUGGCAGCACUGUCACAGCUAACAUGUUCAUCACACCUUUUUUUAAAAAGAACUUGUAGUGGUGACAAAACACAAAGUUGAUACACACACACACACAAAAGCUGAAACUGAGUCAAAACGGUGAACCGCAUACUUUCAAGUGAAACACACCAAUCCCCUGCUGUACACCAUUGUUUGUAACAAAUGAGCACAUACUCUGAUGGGUAUGCAAUACAUCACUGUCCUAGUCCCAUGACACUUAACCGUACCCACCAACCACCAAUACCCUUGUCAGCCAAAUGACUAGCCUGUCUAUGAUUGUCAGCGGCUGCCAUAAUGAUAAUUUAUUUCCGUGCUCCUUUACACUUCUUCACCUUAUUUCCUCUCCCAUUUCAACCCAAAACGCAGCAAACUAAAAUCCAUCAUGCUGCACAUGCUGAAUGGCCGAGCGUUGAGGAUGACAUUUCAUGUCCCACAAGGGGCGCCGAUGUCGUCACAGAGCAGCCUCCCUGGGAGAUUUCACAGUUCACACUUUCCCAUUAAACAGAGAGCAUUUUUCAUAGUGCUGAAUCCACACAGCGGGACAGCUGUAAACACACAGUUUCUCAAUUGUUUGCCACUUCUGAAUAAAUGACCAAGAGCCGAACUGGAAGGAGUGAGGAGUUAACUUCUUGUUCCGAGCCGCAGAGUACAUGAAUACGUCACAUGAGUUUAGCUUGCACAUCUCACAGUAUUCAAAAUUUAAUGAUUAUAAAAUGCAAAAUAAUGUUUUCAUGCAGGACACAAUGCAGGAUGAGGACACACAGCACAUCUCACAGGUUGAAAAGGCUGUUUGUUUGUGUUGAAUUUGUGGGGGGUUUUUUUAUUGCAUUAUUUUUUUCAUAAAAUGUCCAGUGCACCACAGAGUACUAUAAUUCAGACCAGUAAACACGACACAGCUAUUUUCUGGUGUUGGCUUCAAUUACAUCAUACAGUAAAGAAAUAAAGACAUACAUAUCAGAGAUCUAUCUAUCUGUCUGUCUAUCUGCUAGAUAGACAGACAGAUGCUGCUUUGAUUGCAGAGAAGAUUGUACCUUGGCAUUUUUAAGGAGAGGUCAGAUACAAUUUCAUGUUGUUUGUCCACAAUUGUAUAGACAGUUCACAACUGGCCUGGCCCCCAGGCUGCCUGCCAGAGACAAAGCACUGUGCCGUCAGUCCAAACCUGCCCACACACACAAUAUCUGCAGUGAACUUAUCUAAAGUUUGGAUGAUGGAAAGGCAAACUAGAGCAUUUGUCUUGCCCACACACUGCCUGAAAAGUUUUGCCAUGUCAUCGAGUUCAUGCAAUUUACGUUUUUCUCGUUCUCCAUUAAGUUACCUGAGUUUCCUAAUCAAUUGGGUUUAUCCUGUAAAUGUGGGUUCAAUUUGAACAAAUAGUACCGUUGGAUGAUCAAACUGAAUCUUAAACUGGAAAUUACUAACAGUUCUACUGUUGUAGACUAGCGUUAGGCUAGUAAUACACCAAGGCCAAAUGCCAAAUACAUGUUUAGUCCUUGCUCUGUCCUCACACAGGCUUUCACGAAUAAUAGAAAUCCUAAAAUUCGAUUAAGCCAUAAUCUAAUAAAUUUAAAACAUUUUCACAAAUAAAUUGCUACAAUUCAUAUUCAUUCUCUGAUCUGUCUCUUCCACAUUAUAUCAUGCCUCAAGGCCGUCUCACAAAAAGUUCCUCUUUUCUGAAUUUGAAAGUGAAUCCUUGUGAUUACAGCAUGACGCAGAACACCAAGUAUGUAAAAUCCACAAUAACACAUAAAAAUCCAUGGACUGACUAGACAGAAAGUGAAUUGUUGCUAUUCUCUCCUGUGUCAGGUACAAGCUGAGCGGUUAUAUAGCACAGUCUCAGCAGAGUCUUUAGUCUGGGUUAAUGGUAAAGGUGAUUUUCUGAUGGCUGCAGGAUGGAACCACUUUCCCCAAUUCCACUCUCAGCCAAUGAGCUGCCUCUUUCUCUGGUAUGCAAAUUAGAGGCACAAGGGCAAGCAGGGAUUGUGAAGGACACAGUCUUUAGGCCACAAGGAGACGGAGCCACCCCGGAGGGCCAACGAUGCCUCAUUCAGAUUCAACACGAUCAUUUCCCCUCGGCAGAUGAAGUACGUCGGUGCUAAACUCAGACUGAAUACAGUGCCGAGAACACAAACAGGCAUACCUUUAAAAAACGAUUGCAACCAGUAGUCCAGUGUGGAAAUCUUGUUUAAUAAUUGAAUGUGAAUGAUGUGCUAUCUGGGCCAUAAAAGCAUACCUUAUAGUGGCAUACAUUCUUCAGAAAAUCGCCUUAACCUGGCAACUGACAUAUACACACACAAGUACACAAAGGGGCUGAACACAUGCCUUUACCUAAGCAGCCAGUAUUGCAAACAUCGCUGCUAGAUUGGAAUUUUAAGAUGAGCAUGAUGCAGAAAUCAAUUUAGAUGUUAUUCCCACGACAGUGCCUGGGUAUGACUAGCCAGGGUAUUUUCUAUUUUGUGUUACCUUUCCCACCUUGAUUUUUUCCCCCCAAGCUAUCAUCCCAAAUAGAAUGGUGUCUGCACCUCAAGGCGGCGGCCAUUGAUCCACACUGGAAGUGAGACACUGCUGCUUGUGCCAUCGGCACAAUACUUGUUAUUGGUCAGACUGCAUCAGUGACUGGAUAUAGAUGGUCAAACGUGUUGGCUGUACACAAACAUGGUUGUGAUACAACUGAGCUUUAACAUCUCAGUGUGUGACCCAAUGCUUCCAACUACAUAUUUACAGGUUUAAAAGGAAGUUAUUGGAAUUAGCCUAUAAAUUAGGCAAUAGACUCUCAUAUUUGUAUGUUUCAUAUGAAAUAGCAUAGCAUUUUGGAAGAUCUACGUCUCUAUAUGGCUUGCCUUUAUGGUAUUUUACAGCAGGGUGGUGUAGUAGUUAGCACUGUCGCUUCUUGAUUUGAACCUUCUUGGGGCAAUUCUGUGUGGAGUUUGCAUGCUUUCCCUGUACUUGUGUGGGUUUCCUUUGGGUGAUCCAGUGUUCUCCUACAGUCGGAAGAGCAUUGCGUUAAUUGGUGAUUCUAAAUUGCCUGUAGGUGUAAAUGUGAGAUAUACAAAGUGGUUAAAGAUUUAUAGUGCUAUGUGAUUGGGGCUUGCAGCCUAAAGUACUUUGAGCAGUAAGAAAAACACCAGAAAUAUGCUAUAUAAAUGCAAUCCACUGACCACAACCACGACAGCUACAGAAAAUCAGACAAACUUAACGUGGCCACAAUGCAUAACAUCCAACGAGUGCCCUGUUCGCUUCUUGUCCCUCGUGGAUCUAUUAGCUAGAAACUGCUCGUGGCCCUCUGGCUCUGUGCCGUCUACUAAGACAUCUUGUUUUUAUCUCAUAUAGUUUCAUAAUCUAAGUGAGCUGCAACCACUUUCACAUUCACAGUUAGUUACAUGUCAGCUGAUAUUAUACACCACACCAUCCCUACAACAGCUUCUUCAUAUCUUUAUUCUGUAUUAGCUUUUCUGGGAGCUGUCGCAAAGUUAACUCUCGGUCUGUCUUCCCUGGCAGACAGUAGAUAGAAGACAAAUAGGCCUGUGUAUACAUAAUACCUGUAGGUGACACAAUGCUUUCAUAAUGCAAACUGACAAAGUCAAUAGAGCUGCUGAAAUAUGAAGGAAGGGGUUUUUUGGGGGGGUGUUCAUCGUAUAUCCUAAUCAAGAGACAUUCAGUGCACACUCGACCAGUGCUGUGAAACUGCCUUGUCUAAUCUACUGUGCAGUUUUUAUAUUUUCUUAAAGCCAAAAUAAAAUAAAAAUGACAUCAGCCGUUAUGUGUGUUUUAAAUAAAGCUGGGUUUUUUGAGUGCGGCGAACCAUUAGUGCAUAAGGUUCAGCUAGAGAGAAGCUGUGAUCUCCCGGUGCAGUCUGCUGUAGGCUGUUACAGGAUUGUCCCCUGCCACUGCUCUCAUUUCGUGUAACACUGGCAGUGCAUUUUCCUGAAGUGCUCAGAGCAAAACUACUUAAAGUCGUUCCCCAUAUGAACAACUUAGUAAAUGAAUGCCUGGAAUGUGUCAUCGAUUAAACAGCACAGUCCUUCUCCUAUGAUUCAUAGGCAGAGUGCGUGCACUCAGGCACAUAAUCUCUUUUUUUCAUUUCAGCACCUCCAGAAUUGCCUUCUAAACACAAAUAAUGACAGUGGCAGCAAAGCUCUGCAAGCCUAUCCAUGAGCUCAUAUAAAAUGCGUUGAUCAUUUAGCUGAUUCAUAAUUUUCCGCUACCCGAAAGCACAGCUCUCUGCUGCAUCAGACAGAUAUUUGUUUUACUGCAUCCUAAAUAGCAAUAUACCAGUAUUUUCCAGAUUACAUCUGAAGGAAAUUAUAGCUUUUAAAAACGUGUUUUGUCACUUGUGGAGCCAAUAACAUGUAACAUAACAUGUGAGCUUAAACAGAUCAUAAUAGUUUCUUUUAUAUACAUUCAAAUCUAUCUUAACAACAACCUUCCAGCGAUAUUACAGCGAUUUAUUCACUUUAAUAAAGCAAUGAAAUCAGUGUUACAGUGAAGACUGAUUACUGGAAAUAUAACUCAAACUUCACAAGAUGAUAUAACGCCCAUUUUACGUGUAACCUACCUUUCCAAAUUUUCCACCAUCUUCCACCUCAACAACUCGCUCCUGUCCCCAUCUUUAUUACAUUAAUCACAUGUGCCUACAUUAAAUGAAAUCCAUUUAAAUACCCCUGGUUGCACAAAUUAUUUGUGUAGCCAGGUUGAAAGACUUGGGAGUCAAAGGCGGCAUAAUUAGACGGGACGAUUCUGAAACCUAAUACAAGAUGUAAUUAAGGAAAUUAAUAAGGUGUCAGCCCCCUUUCACUGGGUGCUCUGCCUGAUGAUUAAUCACAGCCUGGGCUAAUUUGAUUUGUGACAAGGAAAAGGAUGACUUGGUAAGUCAGUUAGGAGAACCCAACUCGACAGCAUAUGACAUUAAUAAAACAUGAAAAGUGGGGGCUGAGAGAGUAACGAAAAUCCACUUGUGAUCCACAUGAAGCAAUCAGAUUAAAGGAGACUUUGGAUAGAUAGCCCUGUGACAAAGUCGCUGACAGGGGACUGAGUGUAAUUUAAUCAAAGCCUCUGAUGUUACAUUAUUCUUAUUAAUCCAUAAUUGGACAUACCACCAUCAUAAAGCAACAAGUAUAGUCAUUUAUGUAGGUGGAGGUAAAAAUCAAACUACAUUCCAGAUAUAAUGUGAUCUUUUAAGAAGGUAGGAACAUUGUAUGACACAUCGAAGCACUGAAAGAGGAAAAGAUAAGGCCGAGGCAUUAGUCACUGAGCCACCAAAACAGAAGAUGAGUGCCGCAGUUCUUACUCGCAGGCACAGAGGAACAUAAGAAAUCAUAAGAUUUCAACACGCUUAGAGAUUAAGGGUUGGGUUAUGGUCUCUUCUUGUGACGCGAUGUCCAACGACAUUAUGCAAUGACGCUCAAUGAUGUGUGUUUAUAAUUGUUUCAACUGAAAAGCCAGUGAUUACAGAGUAGAGGGAGGGAGCGGAGAGAUGCAGUGUAAACCAAAAGCCGAGAUAAUGCCUGGUUUUCAUACAUGAAAAGUGCCACGAAUAUCAUACAGCUGCCAGAUCACCAAUUUUGAAUGUUGUAAACAAUGGGGAGCGCAGACGUCCCUGUGUGAAGUCAAAAUGGCAAUCCAAAACAAAGCACAGUUCUGGCAGACCAUAAUGUCUAUGUUGCUAUGCUGUCAUCAUAUGAUCCGGUUCACCUCCUGCUCUCUCCCAGUGAUGCUUGAUGAAAAGCUUAGUGGAGGGAAGCAAACAGAAGGUAAUUAAUUUCUCAAGUGGAUUCUAAUUGAUUUGUGCUAUAUUUGGAGGGACAGGUAGGGGGAGCGAGUGUGUUUGUAAUUGUGUUUACACCUGCAGAGAGUACACGUAAUAUCGAGAACAUCUGUAUACAAUGCAACCCAACCGCUUUGCAUUUAACUUGAUCAUUGUGAGAAAAACUGCGAUGUUCUGCAUGAACCUCAGGUUGAACCCCUCUGCCUCACAGAGGCUGACUGAGAAAUACUCGAUCAAUUUUGCAAUAUCUACACUUUAUGAUAAUAUUUGAGGUCGUAGUUCAUUUGAGUCUGUGUUCUGAAUUCCAGUGUAGCUGUCCUAGAUAUUGUGUCUGUCAUUUGUAUGUGCCCACACUAUGCAGGGUUACUUGAAUUUACAUACAAUGCAUUAUUGUGUGUCUAUGCCGCGUGCAUUCAACCGCAUACAAGCACAAACAAAUACAGGGACUGAAUGCAGCUGCGAGAAAAAUUAUUGUUCACUUGCAAAUGCACCACAAUACACUGCUAUACUAAUUUCCAAAAAUUCCAGAGUACUGCAAUUGUGGUUAAACCAUUAAUUCCCCUUCAUUUGUCCUACAUCCUACAUGGGCAGACUGGGAAGGGCCAUGGCUUGACCAAGGAGAGUGAAACCAGCCCUCCAAAAGGCUGCAAUGAAGCCUCAGAAUGGCAAAAGUCCAAGUCAGUUGAUUCCAACUUGGGAAGUCAUAUAAGUUUCAUAACUGAAUGUAGAUGCUACUAAUGAUAUUUCCUAACAGAAGAGUAUUGUGCACAUGUCGCAAGUGUUUAAGCAGUUUCCUUCUUUUAUAUCUCAAGGUUGUGCUGAGACACACCUACCAGUGCUGCAUAUUCUUUACAUACUGAUAGAGAGACAUUUCUCAGGAUUUAACACAAAGUCUUCUGUGUGAUGUAGACAGAAAGUGUAUUGACUAUUUCUUGGAUCAGAAACUUUUCACAAAGAAAUUCUCAGAAAGUAGAAUGACAAUGACAGUCUUCCAGACGGAAUUCAACACAAUAUUACAUUUUUUACUUGCCCACUAAUUUUUAUUUCAUGCCUUAUCAC